rnacentral:rRNA from 1 species
CCUACGGGGGGCUGCAGUCGAGAAUCAUUCACAAUGGGGGAAACCCUGAUGGUGCGACGCCGCGUGGGGGAAUGAAGGUCUUCGGAUUGUAAACCUCUGUCAUGUGGGAGCAAAUUAAAAAGAUAGUACCACAAGAGGAAGAGACGGCUAACUCUGUGCCAGCAGCCGCGGUAAUACAGAGGGCUCAAGCGUUGUUCGGAAUCACUGGGCGUAAAGCGUGCGUAGGCUGUGUCGUAAGUCGUGUGUGAAAGGCGCGGGCGCAACCCGCGGACGGCACAUGAUACUGCGAGACUAGAGUAAUGGAGGAGGAACCGGAAUGCUCGGUGUAGCAGUGAAAUGCAUAGAUAUCGCGAGGAACACUCGUGGCGAAGGCGGGUUCCUGGACAUUGACUGACGCUGAAGCACGAAGGCCAGGGGAGCGAAAGGGAUUAGAUACCCUUGUAGUC